rnacentral:lncRNA from 1 species
ACUUGCAGAGCUAUAUAUAAGAGUUUGUGUAUAUAAGAGUGGUAUGUACAGUAUUGCUCCACGUCCCUUGUGGGUGACACUUGUACCAUGUCCAUUCACACUUUCAUCUUACUGAGGCAAGUGAUCAGUGCUAAUUAUGAGUGACCGCAGAGCCAAGUCUUCUUUCUGGGUCUUGCCACUGUGAUGAUUUAAUAAUUUAACCCACCAUGAUUUAAUAUCUGAUUUUUUCUGUAUAUCUACAUCUCUGCUUGGGAUAUGCUUGGGAUAUCCUUGGGAUAUGAAAGUCCUACACUUUAAAAGCCCUUAAAGGACACAAUUGAAAAUUACAAACCAUGUCUCAGCACAGCCAGGACUGGGAAAGGAUGCCCACCCUGCCUCGUAUCUGCUGGAUUUUGGGUAGGAACUGCCUCUGCGUCCUCCAACAGCCCCAGCUAACCCAACUGUGACGUCUACACAGAAUAGAUCUGGGUCUACUCACAAAAUAACUAAAGAGAAAAAAGUGGAUUUCAGCAUUUCCAUUUAUCUGCCUGUACUGUGUUUCCUACCUGGCAAUGGUAAUCAGAGAAAAAGAAAGGCUUUUCUUGGCCAGAACAAAGGUACCCAUAGCCAAGUUUCCUGCCUUCAGCAGCUG